CCCGGAGAAAUCCGGCCUAAUACCGCAUGUGGCCGAGGGGAGGCAUCUUCUUUCGGCCAAAGGAGGCGACUCCGGAGACGGAUGGGCAUGCGUGACAUUAGCUUGUUGGCGGGGUAACGGCCCACCAAGGCGACGAUGUCUAGGGGUUCUGAGAGGAAGGUCCCCCACACUGGUACUGAGACACGGACCAGACUCCUACGGGAGGCAGCAGUGAGGAAUAUUGGUCAAUGGGCGAGAGCCUGAACCAGCCAAGUCGCGUGAAGGAUGACGGCCCUAUGGGUUGUAAACUUCUUUUGUCAGGGAGCAAUUGGGUCCACGCGUGGGCUUAGCGAGAGUACCUGAAGAAAAAGCAUCGGCUAACUCCGUGCCAGCAGCCGCGGUAAUACGGAGGAUGCGAGCGUUAUCCGGAUUUAUUGGGUUUAAAGGGUGCGUAGGCGGAAUAUCAAGUCAGCGGUAAAAAUUCGGGGCUCAACCCCGUCGUGCCGUUGAAACUGAUGUUCUUGAGUGGGCGAGAAGUAUGCGGAAUGCGUGGUGUAGCGGUGAAAUGCAUAGAUAUCACGCAGAACUCCGAUUGCGAAGGCAGCAUACCGGCGCCCAACUGACGCUGAAGCACGAAAGCGUGGGUAUCGAACAGGAUUAGAUACCCUGGUAGUCCACGCAGUAAACG
rnacentral:rRNA from 1 species